rnacentral:rRNA from 1 species
GAUGAACGCUGGCGGCGUGCCUAAUACAUGCAAGUCGAGCGAACAGACGAGGAGCUUGCUCCUCUGACGUUAGCGGCGGACGGGUGAGUAACACGUGGAUAACCUACCUAUAAGACUGGGAUAAUUUCGGGAAACCGGAGCUAAUACCGGAUAAUAUAUUGAACCGCAUGGUUCAAUAGUGAAAGACGGUUUUGCUGUCACUUAUAGAUGGAUCCGCGCCGCAUUAGCUAGUUGGUAAGGUAACGGCUUACCAAGGCAACGAUGCGUAGCCGACCUGAGAGGGUGAUCGGCCACACUGGAACUGAGACACGGUCCAGACUCCUACGGGAGGCAGCAGUAGGGAAUCUUCCGCAAUGGGCGAAAGCCUGACGGAGCAACGCCGCGUGAGUGAUGAAGGUCUUCGGAUCGUAAAGCUCUGUUAUUAGGGAAGAACAAAUGUGUAAGUAACUAUGCACGUCUUGACGGUACCUAAUCAGAAAGCCACGGCUAACUACGUG